GGACUACAGGGGUUUCUAAUCCUGUUUGCUCCCCUAGCUUUCGUGCAUCAGCGUCAGUUGUGGUCCAGUGAGCCGCUUUCGCCACAGGUGUUCCUUCCGAUAUCUACGCAUUUCACCGCUACACCGGAAAUUCCACUCACCUCUCCCACACUCCAGCCCGGCAGUUUCUCCUGCAGACUCUGAGUUGAGCCCAGAGAUUUCACAAAAGACUUACCAAACCGCCUACGCACCCUUUACGCCCAAUAAUUCCGAACAACGCUCGCCCCCCUCGUAUUACCGCGGCUGCUGGCAC
rnacentral:rRNA from 1 species